rnacentral:rRNA from 1 species
AAGACCUCAAAUCAGGUGGGACUACCCGCUGAACUUAAGCAUAUCAAUAAGCGGAGGAAAAGAAACUAACAAGGAUUCCCCCAGUAACGGCGAGUGAAGAGGGAAAAGCCCAAAUUUGUAAUCUGGCUCUUUUAGAGUCCGAGUUGUAAUUUUGAGAACUGUUUUCUGUGCUGGACCAUGUUUAAGUCUGUUGAAAAACAGCAUCAUUGAGGGUGAUAAUCCCGUUCAUGAUAUGGACUACCAGUGCUAUAUGAUACAGUCUCUAAGAGUCGAGUUGUUUGGGAAUGCAGCUCAAAGUGGGUGGUAAAUUCCAUCUAAGGCUAAAUAUAGGUGAGAGACCGAUAGCAAACAAGUACCGUGAGGGAAAGAUGAAAAGAACUUUGGAAAGAGAGUUAACAGUACGUGAAAUUGCUGAAAGGGAAACAAUUGAAGUUAGCCUUGUUAUUUCCAGUUCAACCCUUUUAGGGUGUAUUCUGGUAAUUAACGACCAACAUCAGUCUUUGAGUGCUGGAUAAGGGUUUUGGAAAUGUAGCAGUCUAGGCUGUGUUAUAGUCCAUUACUUUGAUACAGUGCUUAGGAUUGAGGAUCGCAGUAAGCCAAUCUUGGUGGAUCAAUUUAUUGGUCUUCUUAC